UACUGUUCAUUAUCUCCAUAUUUAUAUUUUUUCACUAAACGAUUUGACCAUGAUUGUAUGUUCAAAGUAGUUAAAGUCUCGUUCACUUUAUUAAUAGUUAUAUUCUGCAUGAAAAUGUUUCAGAACUUUAUCAGCAAAACUCAGAAAUCUGCUGCAAAGGCAAUCGAAUUUCUGCUGAUGAAAGCAUAAGAUGUUGUGGCGAUGGAUUUUACAACUCUACCUUUCAACUUUGCUGUCAUUCUGAAAAAUCUGCCACUCCAUUCGAUAAGAAGAGUGAAAAAUGUUGUCAAGGUUUUGUGUUUCCCGUGAAGGAUCUGCCAAAACCGAAAUGUUGUGGAAAUCGAGUUUAUUCGUCACGAAGACAUCUUUGCCGCGGUGGUAUUAUAAAGAGAAAGAGGAAAAGUUGCACUGGAGAGAAAUUGUCUGAAAAUUCCAUUACGAAGGAGAAUGUCUUCCCUUCUGUCCAGAACCUCUUUCCUGGCAUAAGUGCAAAAUUCCAGAAAUGGAAGGGAAAGAAAGGCGCCCCAGUGAUUUAUGUUAACCUUCCUGAAGCCAACAUUUACAUAGGAAAAGUCCCAAAUCAAUCUUUUCCGAAGGAUGAACGUACUGUUUAGAUAAAUAUCAGAGAGAGAGAGAGAGAGAGAGAGAGAGAGAGAGAGAUUGUAAAUCUAGAUGUAAAAUGUAUAU